GUGUCAGCAGCCGCGGUAAUACGAAGGGGGCUAGCGUUACUCGGAAUUACUGGGCGUAAAGGGCGCGUAGGCGGCUUGGCCAGUCAGGCGUGAAAUUCCUGGGCUUAACCUGGGGACUGCGCUUGAUACUGCUGAGCUUGAGGCCGAGAGAGGGUGGUGGAAUUCCCAGUGUAGAGGUGAAAUUCGUAGAUAUUGGGAAGAACACCGGUGGCGAAGGCGACCACCUGGCUCGGUUCUGACGCUGAGGCGCGACAGCGUGGGGAGCAAACAGGAUUAGAUACCCUGGUAGUCCACGCCGUAAACGAUGUGUGCUGGAUGUUGGGGCUCCUAGAGUCUCAGUGUCGUAGCUAACGCGGUAAGCACACCGCCUGGGGAGUACGGCCGCAAGGUUGAA
rnacentral:rRNA from 1 species